AGUUUGCCAUGAUGAAAUGCAUGGUAAGUCUGUGUUUCCGCUGAUUAUCCCGAUUAAACAUAUACUCUGAGAAGACA
ensembl:snoRNA